GUUUGCCAUUGUUUACAAGCUAGUGAAGAUGAUUCCACGCAUAGGUGUGAUAUAUUUUGUAUUAUUCCAUUGUUUUUAGUGCUUGUAACUGCUUAAUAAGCCACCAUAGGCCCAAAGAAGGCUUCUAGUGCCAGCUCUCUGGAAAUGAGGGUGAGAAACACUAUAGAAUUCACGAAAAAGUUUGUAGAAAGAUACAAAAGUGGUGGUGGUAGAGGGUGCUUCCAGGGUACUUCCCCACAAACCAGCCAGGGUACUUCCCCACAUACCAGCCAGGGUACUUCCCCACAAACCAGCCAGGAUAUUUCCCCACAUACCAGCCAGUGUACUUCCCCACAAACCAGCCUGGGUGUGAGGGAAAAGUAGGCGUAAGUGGGGUUAAGGUUGUUCAGGCAACCAGGAACCAUUAGCGAGUUACGUCGCGCACCCCCUCCCCCUCUGGUGGGCUGGGGCGAAACUAGUUCUUGGUGUCUGAUUUGUUCAAAUUUCUACUCCUGGUAAUAUUGACCUUACCUGGUGUGGGGUGAAGUUUGGAGAGUCACUUCACCUCCACUCUUCCCCUAAUCAGGUAGGGUGAUCUACCAGGAGUAUUACUGUUUGUUCCUUUCUUUUGUUUGCUGGUUACCAGUAAUGAUUUUGGCAUUUAUCAUUCUUUUCCAUUCUUAAAUGUUAUAUUAUCAUGACCAUUGGUAACCAGUUAUUUUUUCUUAUUACCAGCUCUGUUCCUGGCGUGGUCAUCCAGGAUAGAUGCCAGAUAAAGGAGCAAGACAUUUGUUAAUGAGACUUAUUAACAUUAUUGGACUACUACUGGCCCUUACCUGUUCUACUUGUGGUGCUCCAUCCAAGUGGUAGGAGAUUCCAAAACAUCGGACUAUCACCAUCCGCCCAGGAUAACCUACAUCAAUAAUAUCAGAAGAUCUAUCCAAGGUCUUACCUACUCCUGCCCAACUACAAGAACCGAAGGCCAUUUUUUUUAUUAUAUUUAAAUUUUAAGUAAAAUCCUCAAAAAUCA